rnacentral:rRNA from 1 species
UAGUCCAUGCCGUAAACGGUGGGCGCUAGGUGUGGGGGUUUUCACGACUUCCGUGCCGUAGCUAACGCAUUAAGCGCCCCGCCUGGGGAGUACGGCCGCAAGGCUAAAACUCAAAGGAAUUGACGGGGGCCCGCACAAGCGGCGGAGCAUGUGGAUUAAUUCGAUGCAACGCGAAGAACCUUACCUGGGCUUGACAUAUACGGGAUCGGCGUAGAGAUACGUUUUCCCUUGUGGCUCGUAUAC